ACGAACGCUGGCGGCGUGCUUAACACAUGCAAGUCGAACGGAAAGGCCCUGCUUUUGUGGGGUUCUCGAGUGGCGAACGGGUGAGUAACACGUGAGUAACCUGCCCUUGACUUUGGGAUAACUUCAGGAAACUGGGGCUAAUACCGGAUAGGAGCUCCUGCUGCAUGGUGGGGGUUGGAAAGUUUCGGCGGUUGGGGAUGGACUCGCGGCUUAUCAGCUUGUUGGUGGGGUAGUGGCUUACCAAGGCUUUGACGGGUAGCCGGCCUGAGAGGGUGACCGGCCACAUUGGGACUGAGAUACGGCCCAGACUCCUACGGGAGGCAGCAGUGGGGAAUAUUGCACAAUGGGCGGAAGCCUGAUGCAGCAACGCCGCGUGCGGGAUGACGGCCUUCGGGUUGUAAACCGCUUUCGCCUGUGACGAAGCGUGAGUGACGGUAAUGGGUAAAGAGGCACCGGCUAACUACGUG
rnacentral:rRNA from 1 species